CAAAUUAGAACUUGAGAUAAGUGUUUUAUUUACAUUAAAAAAAUAAUUGUUAAAUUCAAUUUAAUUUGA
rnacentral:tRNA from 1 species